UACGGAGGGUGCGAGCGUUAUCCGGAUUCACUGGGUUUAAAGGGUGCGUAGGUGGGAAUGUAAGUCAGUGGUGAAAUCUCUGAGCUUAACUCAGAAAACUGCCAUUGAUACUAUGUUUCUUGAAUUUUUCUGGAGGUCAGCGGAAUAUGUCAUGUAGCGGUGAAAUGCUUAGAUAUGACAUAGAACACCAAAUUGCGAAGGCAGCUGGCUACAGGGAUAUUGACACUGAGGCACGAAAGCGUGGGGGAUCAAACAGG
rnacentral:rRNA from 1 species